GUGGAGGUGCUGCUGGAGGCCUUCUAUAAGAUCGCCCAGGGGCCUACAGUGCAAGGCAGGAACAUGGCCGUCUUCGCUUUCUCCAUCUUGGCGCACCACCACCUGGAGAAAGUGGUGCAGUAUCUACUCCAGUUUCCCUUCGGAGACUGCGAGAUAGUAUGGAAGGAGGUUUUACCAUCGGCCGAUCCAGAAAAGCUGAUCAUCUCAUGGCCGAGCAGCUUUACCAAAGCCCCUUGGCGGAAUCUGCCACCCAAGUGCAACAUCUCACC